GGAAGGCAGAAAGUAGGUCAGGGACGGAGGUGCCUGUUUACCCGCGCCGGACUCACCGCCGCCGCCGCCGCGGGAUCUGAGUGGGGGCGCGGGCGCGGGAGCUCCCGCCGAGCCACGGUGAGUGUCGGGCUGGCAGCGGCCGGCGGCGCGGCCCCGGGCACCCCGUCGGGGGCCGUUAGCACCCUGGCAGGCGCGGCGCCCCCGCUGCCGCCCCGGGCGCAGCCCGGCCGCCGGGGAACCCUGUCCGACGUGCCCGCUGCCGGCCUUAAAGGGCCCGUGCCCGCUCCCUGCCCCCACCCGGGCCGCGGGGAGGCUGCGCCCCUUAAAGGCGCCGCGCCUGUCCGCCCCCAUCUUCCCUCGCGGGGGCUGGCGCUGCGAGGUAGGGCGGGCAGAGGUGCCACAGGCGCCCUUAAAGGGACCGGGAAAGUGUCCGGGGGAGCACCCACCUCCCCUCCGCGGGCAUCGCUACCUGACCGGGGGGUGGGAGCAGCCAGCUGCCUCUUAAAGAGACAGCUCCGCCCUUUGGGAGCAAUGGCCCGGCUGAGGGCGAGUCCUAGGAUGUAUCCCCGGGAGCUGCGGGGACUCCUGAGGGGACCAUCCUUGACGGCUGCACCCCAAGGGCGUUGGGCGAGCAGUGCCGCUUCUGCCCUUCCUCCCCCUCUUCUCCACUUCCCUUUCGAGAGCCUGCGGGGCUGGGUGGGGGCGGGGAGGGCGUCUCCGUCGGGCUCGGGGAGUCCGAGCCUGCCCUCCCCUUCGGCCCUGUCGCGGAGGCUGGCGCUGCACCCGGGAAUUCCCGGCCCGAAAUGGGGCCGACCCCAGCCUGCGAACUUUCGUCCGGCCUGCGCCGUCCGGGUCCUGGGCAGCCCCGAGAGGAUCCCCCGUGGGUCUGCGAGCAGGUGCCCGGCGGCGCGGGGCUGUCCUCCCCGCGCCCAGGUGCCGGUCCGCCGGCGGCCCCGGAGCCUGCGAGCCCCGCGGAGGGCGCAGCGAGGCCGGCUCCAGCACCGGGUUUGA
rnacentral:lncRNA from 1 species